UCACGUGGCUGCCAUUUACUGCGCGCUGGCGUGUUGUGUGUCGUGGUGCGUGUGGCAUGAGACCCGUAAUGUUGUGCUACAGGUGAUUCUUUCUGCGAAUCAUUGCCUCACCAGACCACGCAUACGCCGGACACGUACUGAGUGUUGACCAGAUACUACGUGCUGUUCCGUGUCGCAACUACGUCCAAUAAUUAUUUCGGCGAGGCAGAUGGAAAUACCUACUGUUUGAUCACACGCUAUUUCGCGCGCCCUGCGUUCCGGCGAAAUCCGCAGCAAGUCAACAACGCAAGGUGUGGAAGCAUUGCAACGAAAACGUCCGGGAAAGCACCACGUACCUUCACACGUUCUCUGGAGACCUCCUUCCAGGACCUUACAUGUAUGCGCGCCAAGCUUGGGGAGACUUCAGUAAGGCAGGAAUUGUUUGUUCCAGCUGCAGGGUAAAAGGCCAUCUCUGCAAUCUCCAGUCACCCCUGUCGUGCGCGAGCUGACUACAUCAUCACUACCGCAUCUGAGCUUGACACUCAAGCUUUACAGCACUUCCCCUUUCAUUUUGCUAUACCCCUGUCACAGAAUUGGAGGCUGCGAACGGCAAGCUUCGAAGGUGCCGUAAACUUCGUUGCCCUGUGCUUUUCCUGGACCUGGCGGUCUGACCUUUUGAAUCCGCGUCGCAUUGCUGCCGGCCACAUCACCUCAAAGAUUCUAUGCAAGCGCUGUUGUUACCAC
rnacentral:lncRNA from 1 species